UACGUAGGCAGCAAGCGUUGUUCGGAGUUACUGGGUGUAAAGCGCGCGUAGGCGGUCGGCCAAGUCUGCUGUGAAAGCGCCUGGCUUAACCGGGCGAGGUCGGCGGAAACUGUCACACUUGAGGACGGUAGAGGGGGGUGGAAUUCCCGGUGUAGUGGUGAAAUGCGUAGAGAUCGGGAGGAACACCUGUGGCGAAGGCGGCCCCCUGGGCCGGCCCUGACACUGAGACGCGAAGGCGUGGGGAGCGAACGGG
rnacentral:rRNA from 1 species